GCGGUGAGUUCUGCGCGAGCGGGGAGCAGAGUUGCCAUGGAAACGGGGCAUCAACACAAAAACCGUUACUGGCAAGCAGUAACGUUAAUCUCCGUCUUUCGCUGCGGUUUACGCUGUUUUAGAAAUGGUUUAGUGUCUUCGAAAAAGUCUGUUAGCAUCUAUCUUAGCAGUUUUCAGGUAAUGUUAGGCUAAUUUUGAGCUCUUGUUGAUGAAACUCUGGGCUUUUCAUCAAAUCGUCGUGUGUGUGAGAUAUUUUGAUGGCUCUGUGAAUGUUUUGCUGGUGAUUUUGUCAGUGUUUUUUUUUUUUUUUUUUU